GAGUGUUCCCCUCUGGAGGUUUGCCUCAAGGCACCUUCAAAACUCAAGCCAGACAUUCGUCUGGCUUUUUUUUAGUUUAUU
rnacentral:sRNA from 1 species